rnacentral:rRNA from 1 species
GUAGGUGGCAAGCGUUGUCCGGAAUUAUUGGGCGUAAAGCGCGCGCAGGCGGUUCUUUAAGUCUGAUGUGAAAGCCCACGGCUCAACCGUGGAGGGUCAUUGGAAACUGGAGAACUUGAGUACAGAAGAGGAAAGCGGAAUUCCACGUGUAGCGGUGAAAUGCGUAGAGAUGUGGAGGAACACCAGUGGCGAAGGCGGCUUUCUGGUCUGUAACUGACGCUGAGGCGCGAAAGCGUGGGGAGCAAACAGGGAUUAGAUACCCUGGUAGUCCACGCCGUAAACGAUGAGUGCUAAGUGUUAGGGGGGUUUCCGCCCCCUUAGUGCUGCAGCUAGCGCAUUAAGCACUCCGCCUGGGAUACGGCCGCAAGGCUG